GUAGGGAAUAUUGGGCAAUGGUCGGAAGACUGACCCAGCCAUGCCGCGUGCAGGAAGACGGCCCUCUGGGUUGUAAACUGCUUUUAUCUGGGAAGAAAAAGGCCAUGCGUGGCAAAUUGCCGGUACCAGAUGAAUAAGCACCGGCUAACUCCGUGCCAGCAGCCGCGGUAAUACGGAGGGUGCGAGCGUUGUCCGGAUUUAUUGGGUUUAAAGGGUGCGUAGGCGGCUGAUUAAGUCAGCGGUGAAAGACUUCGGCUUAACCGGGGCAGUGCCGUUGAUACUGGUUGGCUUGAGUGUCGGAGGGGUACAUGGAAUUGAUGGUGUAGCGGUGAAAUGCAUAGAUACCAUCAGGAACACCGAUAGCGAAGGCAUUGUACUGGCCGACAACUGACGCUGAUGCACGAAAGUGUGGGGAUCGAACAGGAUUAGAUACCCCUGUAGUCC
rnacentral:rRNA from 1 species